GGCGCACGGGUGAGUAACGCGUAUGCAAUCUACCUUUAACCGGGGAAUAGCUUCGAGAAAUCGAAAUUAAUACCCCAUAAUAUUCUGAGGAGGCAUCUCCUUGGUCUUAAAGCUCCGGCGGUUAAAGAUGAGCAUGCGUACCAUUAGCUAGUUGGUAAGGUAACGGCUUACCAAGGCUACGAUGGUUAGGGGGUCUGAGAGGAUGAUCCCCCACACUGGUACUGAGACACGGACCAGACUCCUACGGGAGGCAGCAGUGAGGAAUAUUGGUCAAUGGGUGCAAGCCUGAACCAGCCAUGCCGCGUGAAGGAUUAAGGCGCUAUGCGUUGUAAACUUCUUUUAUACGGGAAAAAACCCUUGGACGUGUCCGAGGCUGAUGGUACCGUAAGAAUAAGGAUCUAACUCCGUGCCAGCAGCCGCGGUAAUACGGAGGAUCCAAGCGUUAUCCGGAUUCACUGGGUUUAAAGGGUGUGUAGGCGGGAUAUUAAGUCAGUGGUGAAAUCCUACAGCUUAACUGUAGAACUGCCAUUGAAACUGAUGUUCUUGAAUGUGGUUGAGGUAAGCGGAAUGUGUAGUGUAGCGGUGAAAUGCUUAGAUAUUACACAGAACACCUAUUGCGAAGGCAGCUUGCUAAGCCAUGAUUGACGCUGAGACACGAAAGCGUGGGGAUCAAACAGGAUUAGAUACCCUGGUAGUCCACGCCGUAAACGAUGAUAACUAGUUGUUAGCGAUAUACAGUUAGCGACAAAGCGAAAGCAUUAAGUUAUCCACCUGGGGAGUACGAUCGCAAGAUUGAAACUCAAAGGAAUUGACGGGGGCCCGCACAAGCGGAGGAACAUGUGGUUUAAUUCGAUGAUACGCGAGGAACCUUACCUGGGCUUGAAAGUUAGUGACGGAUGCUGAAAGGUGUCUUCCCAGCAAUGGGCUCGAAACUAGGUGCUGCAUGGUUGUCGUCAGCUCGUGCCGUGAGGUGUCGGGUUAAGUCCCAUAACGAGCGCAACCCCUAUUUCUAGUUGCCAGCGCGUAAUGGCGGGGACUCUAGAGAGACUGCCGGCGUAAGCCGUGAGGAAGGUGGGGAUGACGUCAAAUCAGCACGGCCCUUAUGUCCAGGGCUACACACGUGUUACAAUGGCCAGUACAAAGAGCAGCCACUUGGCGACAAGGAGCUAAUCUCUAAAGCUGGUCCUAGUUCGGAUUGAAGUCUGCAACUCGACUUCAUGAAGCUGGAUUCGCUAGUAAUCGUAUAUCAGCAAUGAUACGGUGAAUACGUUCCCGGGCCUUGUACACACCGCCCGUCAAGCCAUGGGAGUUUGGGGUACCUGAAGUACGUAACCGCAAGGAGUGUCCUAGGGUAAAACAAAUGACUGGGGCUAAGUCGUAACAAGGUA
rnacentral:rRNA from 1 species